AGGUAAUGUAAUCCAGGGAAGUGGAAAAGAAGAAAUCUGCAAAGAUAAAUCCCAGCUAAACACAACCCAGCAAGGAAGAAGGCAAUUAAUUUCAUCAGGAAGUUCAGAAAAUACAUCAGCAGAACAAGACACAGGAGAAGAGUGCAAAAAUACUGAUCAGGAAGAGUCUACCAUUUCAUCCAAGUCAAGGAAAAAGAAGAACUGAUUGAAGAGUGGCAACCAGAACCUCUUGUUCCUCCUGUCCCAAAAGACCAUCCUGCUCUCAACUACAACAUCGUUUCAGG
rnacentral:lncRNA from 1 species